rnacentral:lncRNA from 1 species
AUGCUAAACCCCGACCAGUUAUUCAGAACAACAUCCACUGUGACUGUCUCAUUUACAUAUGUUCCCUUAUGGAACAAACACAUUCUACUCAUUUACAUAUGUUCACUUAUGGGACAAACACAUUCUACUCAAUUACAUAUGUUCCCUUAUGGAACAAACACAUUCUACUCAUUUACAUAUGUUCCCUUAUGGAACAAACACAUUCUACUCAUUUACAUAUGUUCCCUUAUGGAACAAACACAUUCUACUCAUUUACAUAUGUUCCCUUAUGGAACAAACACAUUCUACUCAUUUACAUAUGUUCCCUUAUGGAACAAACACAUUCUACACAUUUACAUAUGUUCCCUUAUGGAACAAACACAUUCUACUCAUUUACAUAUGUUCACUUAUGGAACAAACACAUUCUACUCAUUUACAUAUGUUCACUUAUGGAACAAACACAUUCUACUCAUUUACAUAUGUUCACUUAUGGAACAAACACAUUCUACUCAUUUACAUAUGUUCACUUAUGGAACAAACACAUUCUACUCAUUUACAUAUGUUCUCUUAUGGAACAAACACAUUCUACACAUUUACAUAUGUUCCCUUAUGGAACAAACACAUUCUACUCAUUUACAUAUGUUCCCUUAUGGAACAAACACAUUCUACUCAUUUACAUAUGUUCACUUAUGGAACAAACACAUUCUACUCAAUUACAUAUGUUCCCUUAUGGAACAAACACAUUCUACUCAUUUACAUAUGUUCACUUAUGGAACAAACACAUUCUACUCAUUUACAUAUGUUCACUUAUGGAACAAACACAUUCUACUCAUUUACAUAUGUUCCCUUAUGGAACAAACACAUUCUACUCAUUUACAUAUGUUCCCUUAUGGAACAAACACAUUCUACUCAUUUACAUAUGUUCCCUUAUGGAACAAACACAUUCUACUCAUUUACAUAUGUUCCCUUAUGGAACAAACACAUUCUACUCAUUUACAUAUGUUCCCUUAUGGAACAAACACAUUCUACUCAUUUACAUAUGUUCCCUUAUGGAACAAACACAUUCUACUCAUUUACAUAUGUUCACUUAUGGAACAAACACAUUCUACACAUUUACACAUGUUCCCUUAUGGAACAAACACAUUCUACUCAUUUACAUAUGUUCCCUUAUGGAACAAACACAUUCUACUCAUUUACAUAUGUUCACUUACCAGUGUGGACCCCGGAACAAACACAUUCUACUCAUUUACAUAUGUUCACUUAUGGAACAAACACAUUCUACUCAUUUACAUAUGUUCACUUACCAGUGUGGACCUCAGGAACAAACACAUUCUACACAUUGACAAACUACCCGUUUAA